CGCCUUGCCAGCCCGCUCAGAAACUUAAAGGAAUUGACGGGGCCCGCACAAGCGGUGGAGUAUGUGGUUUAAUUCGAUGAUACGCGAGGAACCUUACCUGGGCUCAAAUGUAUGUUGACGUAUUCUGAAAGGGAUACUUCUUCGGACAAUAUACAAGGUGCUGCAUGGUUGUCGUCAGCUCGUGCCGUGAGGUGUCGGGUUAAGUCCCAUAACGAGCGCAACCCCUAUCAUUAGUUGCCAUCAGGUCAAGCUGGGGACUCUAAUGAAACUGCCUACGCAAGUAGUGAGGAAGGUGGGGAUGACGUCAAAUCAGCACGGCCCUUACGUCCAGGGCUACACACGUGCUACAAUGGUCGGUACAAAGGGUUGCCAAGCCGCGAGGUGGAGCUAAUCCCAUAAAACCGAUCGUAGUCCGGAUCGCAGUCUGCAACUCGACUGCGUGAAGCUGGAAUCGCUAGUAAUCGCGCAUCAGCCAUGGCGCGGUGAAUACGUUCCCGGGCCUU
rnacentral:rRNA from 1 species